rnacentral:tmRNA from 1 species
GGCCUUUUCAGAUGGCAGGGAACUGCCUAUAUUCGUCUCGCCGGUGCAAGCCGGCUAUAGCGAUAAACGGACGAUGAAAUAAGCCAUUCGGACCCGGGGGCGGUACCCGGCGCCUCCACCUGAGCCCUUCUGCAGCGGAAAUAUCCUCUACAUUUUGAGGAUUGAUCCCGUCGCUGCAAGAGUUGAGGCGGGGGCGAAAUAGGAUCGACGAGGGUGUAAAGAUCGAACUUUUGCUCGGCAUGGUACCACCGUCAUCGGGCUAUAUAGUAGUUGCCAAUGACAACUAUGCGGAAGCACGUCUCGCAGCCUAAGGCUGUGCGAUAGCUUCGAAACAAGCCCUGGGGGUUCGCACUUCUAGGCGGGGUUCGGAGGCACCUGGCAACAGAAGCCUCCACU